rnacentral:rRNA from 1 species
UGUACAUUAAAUCUUUGAACACUUGGAUUAAAAUGCUAUUCUGUGAAAAGUGGGUUAUGCGGAUAAAUUGAUGUUUGGGGUUAUUCGGAGUGGGAGGGUCUAUAGAAACGAAGGUAGCGAAGAAAUAGAAACUAGCCAGUUGAUUUCACCUCAGUGAGAAAGUGAGGAAGAGCUCGUGAAAGUUUCACCAAGAAGUGCGAUCAGUUUGAUAAGGCAGCGAAUUCCACGCAUACCACCUCCACCUACACCACCACCGAUUUCACCACCUUCACCCCCAUCUCCGCCCACACCACCUCCACCACCACCAUAGUUCAAUAUGGCGAGUGCAAUAAAAUUACCAGCAUUCAGAGGAGUAGGGAAUGAAGACUCGAACCAAUUUUGGUUCAUGGUAAAAGUUUUAUGGGAAGCACAAGGAGUCGUGGAUGAAAAUAUAAAGAAGGAAAUGCUAGUAAGCACAUUGCAGGAUCAUGCACUAACAUGGUAGUGGAAACUACCAAGCUAGAGUACCGUAGGGGCAGAGGAAUUUCCGGCGGAGCAGUGAAACGCGUUGAGAUCGAAAAGAACACCAAUGACCAAAGCACUCUGUUGGGCUGAUACUGACACUGAGAGAUGAAAGCUAGGGGAGAAAAUGGGAUUAGAUACCUCAACAGUCCUAACCGUAAAUGAUGGAUACUAAGUGUUGUGUGUAUCGAACUGCGCAGUGUUGUAGCUCACGCAUUAAUUAUCCUGCUUGGGGAGUACGUUCACAAGAAUGAAACUCAAAGGAAUUAACGAAUGCCCGUAGAAGCGGUGGAGCAUGUAGUUCAAUUCAAUGCAAAGCAAAGAACAUUACCAGGGCUUGACAUGCCAUGAAUCCUCUCGAAAGAGAAGAGUGCCUCGGGAACGUGGGCACAAGUGGUGCAUGGCUAUCGUCAGCUCAUGUUGUAAGGUGUUGGGUUAAGUCCACAAACGAGUGGCAACUUGUGUUUUAGUUUCCAGCAUUAGUUGGAACCAUGAACAGACUGCCGAUGAUAAGCAAGGAACACGGUGAGGAUAACGUCAAAGUAUAUGGCCCCUUACGCCUGGGGCGACACACAUGUCAAUGAAACAAGACAAAGGGUUCCACCCCGUGGGCCACAGCUAACCUCAAAAACCCGGCCUCAGUUCAGAUUGCAGGCUGCAACUCACCUACAUGAAGCCAGAAUCCCUAGUAAUCAUCAGCCAGCCAUAUGGCAGUGAAUCCAUUCCCGGGCCUUGUACACAUCGCCCAUCACACUAUGGGAGCUGGUCAUGCCCCAAGUCAUUACCUUAAUCACAAGGAGGGGGAUGCGAAGGCUGGGUAGUGAUUGGAGUGAAGUCGUAACAAGGUAGCCGUUACUGGAGGUGAGGCUA